rnacentral:rRNA from 1 species
GGUGAACGCUGGCGGUGUGCCUAAGACAUGCAAGUCGAACGGCAGCACGGGUGCUUGCACCUGGUGGCGAGUGGCGAACGGGUGAGUAAUACAUCGGAACGUACCUUAUCGUGGGGGAUAACGCAGCGAAAGUUGCGCUAAUACCGCAUACGCCCUGAGGGGGAAAGCGGGGGACCGUAAGGCCUCGCGCGAUUAGAGCGGCCGAUGUCUGAUUAGCUUGUUGGUGAGGUAAAAGCUCACCAAGGCGAUGAUCAGUAGCUGGACUGAGAGGACGGUCAGCCACACUGGGACUGAGACACGGCCCAGACUCCUACGGGAGGCAGCAGUGGGGAAUUUUGGACAAUGGGGGCAACCCUGAUCCAGCAAUGCCGCGUGAGUGAAGAAGGCCUUCGGGUUGUAAAGCUCUUUUGUCAGGGAAGAAACAGCAGCUCUAACACAGUCUGCGAAUGACGGUACCUGAAGAAUAAGCACCGGCUAACUACGUGCCAGCAGCCGCCGUAA